rnacentral:rRNA from 1 species
AGAACGAACGCUGGCGGCAGGCCUAACACAUGCAAGUCGAACGCUCGUAGCAAUACGGGAGUGGCGCACGGGUGAGUAACGCGUGGGCACCUGCCCGGUGGUUUGGGAUAACCGUGGGAAACUGCGGCUAAUACCGGAUACGCCCCUAGGGGGAAAGAUUUAUCGCCAUCGGAUGGGCCCGCGUAGGAUUAGCUAGUUGGUGAGGUAACGGCUCACCAAGGCUACGAUCCUUAGCUUUUGGCUGAGAGGAUGAUCAGCCACACUGGGACUGAGACACGGCCCAGACUCCUACGGGAGGCAGCAGUGGGGAAUAUUGGACAAUGGGGGCAACCCUGAUCCAGCCAUGCCGCGUGAGUGAAGAAGGCCUUCGGGUGUAAAGCUCUUUGGCGGGGACGAGUGAUGACGGUACCCGCGAGAAAUAAGCACCGGCUAACUCGUAGCCAGCAGCCGC